UCUCCACUUGAACAGCAAAAGCUACAACAUACCAUCAUAUUAAGAUUAGAACAUAUUAUACUCCUUUAUUGCUAUCUACUCCUCCAAUUUUACAGCUUUAUGCAGGGAUUUAAUUCCCUCCUCCCCUUCAGUUUUUGUUCAAAGUUUCUUAUCAGACUGGCAGAUAACCAGGUACACACAUUCUCCUAGCCUUCAGCGGAUGGGCCUACCACUUUGGGAAUCUUAAGGCACACUGAAGUUUCUUUUUUUCCCGCUGCCACUGCCCCUUUAAGCAAGCAUCAAGUUUUGCUUUUCUGUGAAUUGGAGUAACAGGAUCAAAAUUUCUUGAUAUGCUUUCCUUGUUUCUUCUGACUGGUUCAACUGCCCACAAAAAAAUGAACAGUAGCUGGAACCCUGCGAACCUGACAAGUUUUUACAGAGUUGGCC
rnacentral:lncRNA from 1 species